rnacentral:sRNA from 1 species
GACUGGAGCUAGCAUCUUCCCGGCCUACGGGUUGAGCAUCAUCCCACUCCUCCCCCACCAUCACGCCACCGCUAGCCUCCAUGGAAGGGCUGUCGCCAUGAGCUCACGCCGGCCCUGCUGUAGGUUGGCGGUGGCCUAGCCCGACUUGCGCGGCAUUAAGACGACAUGGGGAUAGAACAACCGGCGUGCAUGAGGGGAUGAGGUGAUGCGGGCAACAGGAUGGGUCGGAUAAGGGAUCGGAAGUAAGCCGCCGUCGGAUCCCUCGGGAAGGUGGUACAUCAAUCCAUUCUCCUUCACGUACACCGCUCCAACACCCUUCUCUCCUUCCUUCCCACGACCUCCUGUCCUUCUGUAUGAGCUUGGAGGUGGACUGUGCGAGGAAGCGAGCAGCGACACUGCCAGGUGGUAGCAUGGCCACUGUCCCGCCUGUGCUCAUCGGUGGUUCCCCGAAUGAUGUCCUCCUCCAAGCCUGCAGCCACUGCAUGAAGUUACACUCCGCUAGCCUGCUGCAGCAAGGUCACGGGAAGUAUAAGAAUCUGAAUAUUAGUUU